AUGAACGCUGGCGGCGUGCCUAAUACAUGCAAGUCGAGCGAACAGACGAGGAGCUUGCUCCUCUGACGUUAGCGGCGGACGGGUGAGUAACACGUGGAUAACCUACCUAUAAGACUGGGAUAACUUCGGGAAACCGGAGCUAAUACCGGAUAAUAUAUUGAACCGCAUGGUUCAAUAGUGAAAGACGGUUUUGUUGUCCCUUAUAGAUGGAUCCGCGCCGCAUUUGCUAGUUGGUAAGGUAACGGCUUACCAAGGCGACGAUGCGUAGCCGACCUGAGAGGGUGAUCGGCCACACUGGAACUGAGACACGGUCCAGACUCCUACGGGAGGCAGCAGUAGGGAAUCUUCCGCAAUGGGCGAAAGCCUGACGGAGCAACGCCGCGUGAGUGAUGAAGGUCUUCGGAUCGUAAAACUCUGUUAUUAGGGAAGAACAAAUGUGUAAGUAACUAUGCACGUCUUGACGGUACCUAAUCAGAAAGCCACGGCUAACUACGUG
rnacentral:rRNA from 1 species